UCGGCCGCCUCUGGGUCCCGCUUGAAAUUCUGUAGAAGCCUGAAAGCUCGCGGAGCGCGGACUCCGAGUGAGUUUGAGGAUGUGUGCGGCUGGUGGCUGCGCCGGGGCCCCCGCGGAGAAGGUGGGGGGCCCCGACACCCGCUUGCUUGGACCGUGCGCUAUGAGAAGAUGCUUCCCCUGACGGGAAUGGAGUACCAAUCACUGGCACUAUUGGAAAAACUGAUAGAAGGCUGUGGAUUACAGACAGAUGAGGAAACUGAGGCACUGAGGACUUCAGGAACUUGCCCACUGUUUCACAGCCAGGAAGAGGCAGAUUGCAGAUUUGGAGCCCAGAGAGUGCUGUUCUUAGUGUACACUGCCUCCUUGAUGCUGCUGGUCUCCCCCGGUGCCACCUCCAGCUUCGGGCUCCAGAACCUUCACGGUCAGGCUCUGGGUUCUGACCUUUUCCUGUCUUCAGCAACUAAAGAAUAAGAAGCAGGCAGAGACACAGAUGCUCCACGGCAGCCCUCCACGGACACCCAGCAAGCGGCGAGGUCUGGCACCCAGCACUCUGGGCAAAGUGCGCAAGGUUCUAAGCUCCCAGGAUUCCAUUAUCACUGAGAUGCUAAGAGUGAACAGAUGUAAAGUGUCAAAAGCUAAAUGAGAAAAAGAAGAGAACGGUCAUUCGGAGCCCCAGCAAGUAUCAUGGAACGCCCUGGGAUGUGCCCAGGAAACUAGAGUCACCGGAGGCUCACUUCAAAAGCUGGUCUUCAGUUGCGGCUGAGCAAAGUCCCGGCCUGCGGGUUCCAGCCCGUUGACACUGGAUCACGAAACACAAAUAGGUGUCAUUACUUCUACCAGUUUGAGGAGAAAAACACCCGCUGGUGUCAAGCCUGGAACCAAUGAGAAGAACCUGGAGCUCAUUGGCAGCAUCCUCAGUGAAGGAUCCGUCCCUCUCUGACAGCUCCACUGUUGGGCUUCAGGCACUGUUUGCACUACUGGAAGCAAAAGCACAGAGGAAUCAAUACCAUCUUCAACUGGUGGGACAGGUUUCCUUGCUGUGCUCCUCUGAUGGAUGUGCAAGAUCAAGGAAUAUUCGGCAGGAGGGCGAGAGGGAGAGAAGUCUCCCGGGGAGAUGGUCACUUCACUUCCUCCUUCCUGUAACCUCUGGCAGCCAGUCUCCUAUUCUCCGUUUCUCUGAAAUCAGCCUUCGAUUGGGGAAAGGAAAAGGAAGUCACAGUGGCCCCAGGACUCUUGGAUUUGCUGUUUUCUCAAGAGGUAAUAUUCCUCCUUCAGAGGGGUACAUGGCUGGCCUCUCACUGCUUUCAGGUUUGUACUCUAACUUUAUCAACGAGUUUUCCUGACGACCCCUUCUAAAAAAGCGGUGCUUAGCCAUUGUUCUUUGUGUGUGUGUCCUAUCCUAUUCGUGUAGCCAGAACUAACUUCACACCAUGUGCUCUGUAGACCUGUAUGGUUGGUUACUAGUUAUUGCUUGCUGCCCUCACCUUGGAAUGGGAGCUCCGUGAGAACUCUCGUCAGAUGUUUCUUGAAUAAAUGGCCAAAGAGGAAAUGUCCA
rnacentral:lncRNA from 1 species